CCUGCCCCUAGAGGAGAUAGAUGCAGUUGUGGCUGCUGUGUCCCUGUGUGUCAGUAGGUGGCAGAGAGGAGAGAGCCCAUGUCUAUGCUCAGGGUUCUGACUUAUGACCAUCUGAAUGAUUAGUAGCCUAACAUUC
ensembl:snoRNA small nucleolar RNA SNORA17